AUGGAGCAGUUCCAUCACGGCCAGCACGUGCGGCUGCGCAGCCGCGUGCACGGCACGUACCUGCACGCCGACGAGGACGGCUAUGGCGUCAACCUCCGCGUCCGCCGGGCGUCUAUGAACGCGGCUUGGGCGGUGCACCGGUACCCGGGCGAGAACGGACAGUACCUGCUCCUCCACAGCGCCGCCUACGGCCACUACCUCGCCGCCACGGACGGACCGGCGCCGCUAGGCCACCGCGGGCUCCGCGUCGAGCAGCGCGACUACGGCCAUCCUGAGGUGCAGCCAGUCGUCUGGCAGGCCAUCCUGUCAGAAUCCGAGGAAGAGGUCUACCUCCGCAACAUCGGCGGCGUCUGCCUCCGCGCCAACGGGAGGUACUGGAACACCGACGCCAGCGUCGACUUCGUCGACGACCUCGACAACAUCAGCAGGAAGAUGCUCUGGGUCGUGGAGCAAAUCCCCGCCAGGGAGGUCAUGCCUCCCCUUCCACGUCCGAUUGGGCUUCCCCACCCCAUGUUGCGGUCGCGGAUGAUCAUGUACGUGUGGCGGAACAUCCACGGGGAACUCAUCACCCGCGGCUCGUUCGUGUUCAGUGGGAGGUCCGUGUUCCGCCUGAGGAAGCGGCUAGCCAGGCGGCUGGGCGCCAUGGCAAUCUUGGACGACUCUGAACUCGUCAUGGGCCUCCCCACACGUGAUGGCCGGAUGUUUCCACUCGUCGUCGACCUGGCCAGCAGCGGCGAGACCCUCCACAUCUUCGUCGUCAUCGUCGGGACGCCUGCCCACGCGGCGCUGCGGUACGCGGAUGUCGAUGCAGAGUAG
rnacentral:rRNA from 1 species